ensembl:lncRNA
AUGUCGGAGAGGGAAGCAGCUGCCGGGAUGUGUGGACACUCUUAUUUUUACAGUUCUGAGAUGGAAGAGUGUCAAGCCUGUACAGAAUGCGAUUCUCAACCAAUGGCGUCCCCAUGUUUGGCCUUGAGUGAUGCGGUUUGCGCCAACCCCUCUGAAAGCAAGCUCUCUCUUUCCUGGUCUGGUAACGUUGACCUGGCCAAGGGUAGUGAGCUUCCUGAAAUGCAACUUCACAUCCGUGGUAACAGUGACAUAAGCCUUCUUUCCUGCACUGAUGGUUGGAUAGUGCUUCACCAGCAUGGUCUUGUUUGGGUUGACCAUAAUCUUGCUUUAAAACAUAGCUGCCGCAGCUUUGUUCAAGCAUGUUUACGACUAAAUGCCAGUGAAGAUGAAGGCCGGGAUCUGAGUGGGAUGCGUUUGGAGCAUCGGGAGGGGAAAUCUCUCCAGAGUGUCAGUGUGAGUGGAGCAGCUGCUGUGGAGCCAGGUCAUGUACUCUACCUUACUCUCAAAAGCGCCACCAACCAGUGUAGCCAAGACAAGGACAAUGUGCAACUUCAGAGCAGUAUAAUCUCACCUUUCAGCUUGCUCUGGUUGUCUCAUGACACAGGUGCGGUUGCAAUGACUGCUCAGGCCGUUGCUUCUGCACACUACCACACCAACUACCGCCCUGCUUUCCGUACGUCAUCCAUCUCUGACCCCUACAUGGUUGGCUUGACCCAUGACAAUCGAGGGGUGCUCUUCAGAGAAAGUGGCACUGUAAAGUUUGUCCUCCAGCAAGCAUUGUACUCCAUGGGUCAAGCCUGUAUCUCUGAGGGCUUCUACUUGCUUGCAUACGUGAACCACAACGGAAGCAGUGCUGAGCUGACCCGUGCAUUCAAGCCCGGUGUUCACUACAGAGACACGUCUAUAUCUCUGUCGGCAGCCACCACUGUGGAUUCUGGGGAUAUGCUCACCUUUGAGAUCCUUGCACCUGCUCAGUGCAAUGUGCGCUACUUCGGUGACGACUCUGGGAUUAGCAUGCUCAGUCUAGUGUGGAUCCCUUCAGCCGUGUCCACUGCCUUGUCAGCAUCCCUGUCCAGGAGAGGUCUCCCCUCUGGUGCAGUGCGGAAUAAAGCCUUGUUUUUCCAUCAGACAAGUCCAGCGGUUCCACAAGUUGCACUUGCUGGAACCAAAGAUCACAGAGACUUCAUCUUUCGGGAAACAGGGACAGCAAGUGUGGCUUUAGAUCUGCGUCUUAUCCACUCAUGCAGUCAAAUCAAACUCACCUUGCUCCAACAGAGUGGGUCUCAGGGGGUUCAGCCAGCGCCUGUAGCUCAACAGAUUGGUGGACAUAUGCCAGAGGGAAGCGUAUGGGCAAGUGUGGGACUGAGGGCAUCAUUCCAGGUGCGUAACGGCACUGUGAUCUUUGCUACAGUGGACUGUGUGAGAGGCCGCAUCAACCAAAUUUCCCAUGAUGCCGGAAGUAGCAUGUCUAUCCUCUGGACAGUUGCAUGA